GCCGCGUGGAGGAUGAAGGUCCUUGGAUUGUAAACUCCUGUCAUCAGGGAAAAAGCGACUGGACCUAAUACGUCUGGGAGUUGAUUGUACCUGCAGAGGAAGCCCCGGCUAACUCUGUGCCAGCAGCCGCGGUAAUACAGAGGGGGCAAGCGUUAUUCGGAAUUAUUGGGCGUAAAGGGCGCGUAGGCGGCCAUUCAAGUGACGGGUGAAAGCCCUCGGCUUAACCGAGGAACUGCCUGUCAGACUGGGUGGCUUGAGACCGGGAGAGGUGAGUGGAAUUCCCAGUGUAGCGGUGAAAUGCGUAGAUAUUGGGAGGAACACCAGUGGCGAAGGCGGCUCACUGGACCGGAACUGACGCUGAGGCGCGAAAGCGUGGGGAGCAAACAGGAUUAGAUACCCUGGUAGUCCACGCCGUAAACGAUGAGUGCUUGGUGUAGCGGGUAUCGACCCCUGCUGUGCCGAAGUCAACACAUUAAGCACUCCGCCUGGGGAGUACGGUCGCAAGACUGAAACUCAAAGGAAUUGACGG
rnacentral:rRNA from 1 species